GACGAACGCUGGCGGCGUGCUUAACACAUGCAAGUCGAACGGAAAGGCCUGCUUUCCCUUGUGGAUUGCGGGUACUCGAGUGGCGAACGGGUGAGUAACACAUGAGUGAUCUGCCCCCAACUUGGGUAUAAGCCUGGGAAACUGGGUCUAAUUCCCGAUAGGACUGCAGGGUGGUGCCUGUGGUGGAAAACGAUUUUCUAGUGGUUGGGGAUGAGCUCGCGGCCUAUCAGCUUGUUGGUGGGGUAAUGGCCUACCAAGGCGGCGACGGGUAGCCGGCCGGGGAGGGUGGACGGCCACAUUGGGACUGAGAUACGGCCCAGACUCCUACGGGAGGCAGCAGUGGGGAAUAUUGCACAAUGGGCGGAAGCCUGAUGCAGCGACGCCGCGUGGGGGAUGACGGCCUUCGGGUUGUAAACUCCUUUCGACCGCGAGGAAGCCACCUGGUUGGAAGGGUGGUGACGGUAGUGGUAGAAGAAGCACCGGCUAACUACGUG
rnacentral:rRNA from 1 species